CCUACGGGUGGCAGCAGUCGGGAAUAUUGCGCAAUGGAGGAAACUCUGACGCAGUGACGCCGCGUGAAGGAUGAAGGCUUUAGGGUUUUUAACUUCUUUUUAUAUGGAAGUGCAGAAGACGGUACCUCUUGAAUAAGCCAUGGCUAAUUACGUGCCAGCAGCCGAGGCCAUACGUAGGUGGCCAGCGUUGUCCGGAUUUACUGGGUGUAAAGGGCGUGCAGCCGGGAAGACAAGUCAGAUGUGAAAUCCCGCGGCUCAACCGCGGAACUGCAUUUGAAACUGUUUUUCUUGAGUACAGGAGAGGUCAGCGGAAUUCCUUGUGUAGCGGUGAAAUGCGUAGAUAUAAGGAAGAACACCGAUUGCGAAGGCAGAUGACUGGACGGCAACUGACGGUGAGGCGCGAAAGCGUGGGUAGCAAACAGGAUUAGAUACCCUUGUAGUC
rnacentral:rRNA from 1 species